rnacentral:rRNA from 1 species
CACACCAUGGGAGUCGUUUGCUCCAGAAGUGCCUGCGCCAACUCGCCAAGGAAACUUGGAGAGAGGCAGGGCCCCAAGGAGUGACCGGUAACUGGGGUG